rnacentral:rRNA from 1 species
UAUUGCGAAGGCGAUNUGCUGGAACUUAACUGACGCUAAUGCGUGAAAGCGUGGGGAGCAAACAGGAUUAGAUACCCUGGUAGUCCACGCCCUAAACGAUGUAUACCGGUUGUUGCUGUGCUAGUCACGGCAGUAAUCCACCUAACGGAUUAAGUAUACCGCCUGGGGAGUACGGUCGCAAGAUUAAAACUCAAAGGAAUAGACGGGGACCCGCACAAGCGGUGGAGCAUGUGGUUUAAUUCGAAGAUACGCGAAGAACCUUACCCGGACUUGAUAUCUAACAAAUCAUCCAGAGAUGGAAGAGUGUCUGCUUGCAGAAAUGUUAAGACAGGUGCUGCACGGCUGUCGUCAGCUCGUGUCGUGAGAUGUUGGGUUAAGUCCCGCAACGAGCGCAACCCACGUCAUUAGUUGCUAACGGUUCGGCCGAGCACUCUAAUGAGACUGCCUUCGUAAGGAGGAGGAAGGUGUGGACGACGUCAAGUCAUCAUGGCCCUUAUGUCCGGGGCGACACACGUGCUACAAUGGCAUAUACAAUAAGACGCAAUAUCGUAAGAUGGAGCAAAUCUAAAAAAUAUGUCCCAGUUCGGAUUGGAGUCUGCAACUCGACUCCAUGAAGCCGGAAUCGCUAGUAAUCGUAGAUCAGCCAUGCUACGGUGAAUACGUUCCCGGGUCUUGUACUCACCGCCCGUCACACCAUGGGAGUUGAUUUCACUCGAAGCGGGAAUGCGAAAUUCGCUNCC